rnacentral:rRNA from 1 species
GUCAUAUGCUUGUCUCAAAGAUUAAGCCAUGCAUGUCUCAGUACAAGCCAAAUUAAGGUGAAACCGCGAAAGGCUCAUUAAAUCAGUUAUGGUUCCUUAGAUCGUACCAACAAUUACUUGGAUAACUGUGGUAAUUCUAGAGCUAAUACAUGCAAACAGAACUCCGACCGGAGACGGAAGGAGUGCUUUUAUUAGAUCAAAACCAAUCGGUGGCGGGUUCGCUCGUCAUCGUACAACUUGGUGACUCUGAAUAACUUUACGCUGAUCGCACGGUCAUCGCACCGGCGACGCAUCUUUCAAAUGUCUGCCUUAUCAACUGUCGAUGGUAGGUUCUGCGCCUACCAUGGUUGUAACGGGUAACGGGGAAUCAGGGUUCGAUUCCGGAGAGGGAGCCUGAGAAACGGCUACCACAUCCAAGGAAGGCAGCAGGCGCGCAAAUUACCCACUCCCGGCACGGGGAGGUAGUGACGAAAAAUAACGAUACGGGACUCAUCCGAGGCCCCGUAAUCGGAAUGAGUACACUCUAAACCCUUUAACGAGGAUCAAUUGGAGGGCAAGUCUGGUGCCAGCAGCCGCGGUAAUUCCAGCUCCAAUAGCGUAUAUUAAAGUUGUUGCGGUUAAAAAGCUCGUAGUCGAAUUUGUGUCUCGCGCCGCCGGUUCAUCGUCCGCGGUGUUAACUGGCGAGUCGCGAGACGUCCUGCCGGUGGGCUUAGCUCGCGAGGGCGGCCCAACUCAAUCCUGCCGCGGUGCUCUUCAUUGAGUGUCGAGGUGGGCCGGCACGUUUACUUUGAACAAAUUAGAGUGCUUAAAGCAGGCUAAAACUUCGCCUGAAUACUGUGUGCAUGGAAUAAUGGAAUAGGACCUCGGUUCUAUUUUGUUGGUUUUCGGAACCCCGAGGUAAUGAUUAAUAGGAACGGAUGGGGGCAUUCGUAUUGCGACGUUAGAGGUGAAAUUCUUGGAUCGUCGC